AGCAGCCGCGGUAAUUCCAGCUCCAAUAGCGUAUAUUAAAGUUGUUGCAGUUAAAAAGCUCGUAGUUGAAUUUCGGGGUUUAUCCGUUGGUCGGGCUUUUGGGUCUGUACUGGCGUGAUGGAUUCCUACCUUCUGAAUAACCAGCAUGCCAUUAAUUUGGUGCGUUGGGGAAGCAGGACUGUUACCUUGAAAAAUUAGAGUGCUUAAAGCAGGCUAUUGCCUGAAUACAUUAGCAUGGAAUAAUGAAAUAGGACGCAUGGUUCUAUUUUGUUGGUUUCUAGGAUCACCGUAAUGAUUAAUAGGGAUAGUUGGGGGCAUUAGUAUUCAAUUGUCAGAGGUGAAAUUCUUGGAUUUAUUGAAGACUAACUUCUGCGAAAGCAUUUGCCAAGUAUGUUUUCAUUAAUCAAGAGCGAAAGUUAGGGGAUCGAAGACGAUCAGAUACCGUCGUAGUCUUAACCAUAAACUAUGCCGACUAGG
rnacentral:rRNA from 1 species